GAUGAACGCUGGCGGCGUGCCUAAUACAUGCAAGUCGAGCGAACAGACGAGGAGCUUGCUCCUCUGACGUUAGCGGCGGACGGGUGAGUAACACGUGGAUAACCUACCUAUAAGACUGGGAUAACUUCGGGAAACCGGAGCUAAUACCGGAUAAUAUAUUGAACCGCAUGGUUCAAUAGUGAAGGACGGUUUUGCUGUCACUUAUAGAUGGAUCCGCGCCGCAUUAGCUAGUUGGUAAGGUAACGGCUUACCAAGGCAACGAAGCGUAGCCGACCUGAGAGGGGGAUCGGCCACACGGGAACUGAGACACGGUCCAGACUCCUACGGGAGGCAGCAGUAGGGAAUCUUCCGCAAGGGGCGAAAGCCUGACGGAGCAACGCCGCGUGAGUGAUGAAGGUCUUCGGAUCGUAAAACUCUGUUAUUAGGGAAGAACAAAUGUGUAAGUAACUAUGCACGUCUUGACGGUACCUAAUCAGAAAGCCACGGCUAACUACGUG
rnacentral:rRNA from 1 species